rnacentral:rRNA from 1 species
CAGCCGCCGCGGUAAUACGAAGGGGGCUAGCGUUGUUCGGAUUUACUGGGCGUAAAGGGCGUGUAGGCGGCCUGGGGCGUCCCAUGUGAAAGGCCACGGCUCAACCGUGGAGGAGCGUGGGAUACGCUCAGGCUAGAGGGUGGGAGAGGGUGGUGGAAUUCCCGGAGUAGCGGUGAAAUGCGCAGAUACCGGGAGGAACGCCGAUGGCGAAGGCAGCCACCUGGUCCACUUCUGACGCUGAGGCGCGAAAGCGUGGGGAGCAAACCGGAUUAGAUACCCGCGUAGUCCCUGUCUCUUAUAC